rnacentral:snRNA from 1 species
UUCCUGCAGCACAUAUACUAAAAUUAGAAUGAUAACAGAGAUUAGCAUGCCUCUGCACAAGAAUGACAUGAAAAUUCUUAAAGCACUCCAUAGUUUU